UAAAAAAGUUUUAAAAGAGUUCUAAAAGAGUUUAAUUAAAAAGCAAAAAAAAAGUUUAAAAAGUUAUAUUUUCAAAAAAGUUUAAAAAGUUAAGGGUUAGGGGUUAGUGGUUAGUGGUUGGAGUUAGGGUUAGUGUUAGUCGUUCCGGGCCGACUUGUCCCCAGUAGUUAUUUGAACUUCAAUUUUAUAGGGACGAAUAGGCAUGUACACAUCUAUAAUCUACAUAAUU